rnacentral:tRNA from 1 species
CUGAGCGUGGGAGAGCCUGGUCGAUCCGCCUGCCUUGGGCGCCGGAGAUCGCCGGUUCGAAUCCGGCCGCGCAGACCA